GGCUGGCGUAGCUCAGUGGUCAGAGCAGUCGACCGGUAAUCGAAAGGUCCCGGGUUCCAAUCCCGGCCCAGACG